rnacentral:rRNA from 1 species
CUCAAGUGAUGAUUAUUGGAGGUAGAGCACUGUUUGGACGAGGGGCCCCUCUCGGGUUACCGAAUUCAGACAAACUCCGAAUGCCAAUUAAUUUAACUUGGGAGUCAGAACAUGGGUGAUAAGGUCCGUGUUCGAAAGGGAAACAGCCCAGACCACCAGCUAAGGUCCCAAAAUAUAUGUUAAGUGGAAAAGGAUGUGGCGUUGCCCAGACAACUAGGAUGUUGGCUUAGAAGCAGCCAUCAUUUAAAGAGUGCGUAAUAGCUCACUAGUCGAGUGACACUGCGCCGAAAAUGUACCGGGGCUAAACAUAUUACCGAAGCUGUGGAUUGUCCUUUGGACAAUGGUAGGAGAGCGUUCUAAGGGCGUUGAAGCAUGAUCGUAAGGACAUGUGGAGCGCUUAGAAGUGAGAAUGCCGGUGUGAGUAGCGAAAGACGGGUGAGAAUCCCGUCCACCGAUUGACUAAGGUUUCCAGAGGAAGGCUCGUCCGCUCUGGGUUAGUCGGGUCCUAAGCUGAGGCCGACAGGCGUAGGCGAUGGAUAACAGGUUGAUAUUCCUGUACCACCUAUAAUCGUUUUAAUCGAUGGGGGGACGCAGUAGGAUAGGCGAAGCGUGCGAUUGGAUUGCACGUCUAAGCAGUAAGGCUGAGUAUUAGGCAAAUCCGGUACUCGUUAA